AGUGAAGAGCAGAAGUCUGUUGGUCCAGAUGUGGUCCAGGAAAUCCAGUAUAAUCUUCUGGUUCUCCUCUGCUCCGAUGAAGCGGUUCCACUUAUCCGUCUUCACUCGCAGCACACAGAAGGCCUGCUCCCGAAGGAAGUCCACCCUCUCAUCUGUCAGCACCACCCCGGCUUUGAGAGAGGGCUCCUGGGGGACACGCAGUCCCCCAGCCCCUCCACUGCCUAAACCUCCGCUGUUACCGCUCGUGCCUGUGGCCUCAGCCAUGAAGACUCAGCUGGCGCUCUGAGGGCUAUCAGCUGGAAAAGUGAUACACGGCUUGAUGGAUGGGUUAACUUGUCACUGUGACAACGCAGUAUGGGCUGUCUUCAUUAUCCUGCAUGGUGGAGACUGUUUGUGUAGCCUGUAUGGCCUGCAACCCUAUCCUGUAACCUGAGACCUAACCACAGUGACGCCUCCAGGACAGAGUGCCACUCUUGGGUCCGGAGCUUCAGCCUCGCUCACUCUCUGUCUCUCCCCUCAACCACUCCUCUACUCCUCAUCAUCAUCAUCACCCUUUCCCUGUCCUCAGUCACGGGAGGAAAUUACAUGUAGAUGAGCUCGAGGUCUCUGUAUCUUUCAAGCACACGACCAUCGUCUCCUCAGGCACUGGGAGUCUCGAACAAGUCUGCACUUUGGUACUACCCACCACGGCCUUUUUCAUUUUGUCUUGUAGUCUCCGGGGAACAGGACAUACUCAUGUAUAACUGAAGCAGUUGGAGUCAUGGGAGGCAGAAAUGGAUGAAAAAAGAGACGAGGGGGGGGAAUAAGCAAGAAGAGAAAAGCAGAGAG